rnacentral:misc_RNA from 1 species
CGCAUAUUCUCAUUCUCAAAUUCUCAUUACAAGUUCUUUCAAUAUCCUCACAUACAGUUUUCUGACUUGAGCGUCGGAGUGGCCUGCCAAAAAGCCAUCCACCUAAUUAUCUUUUUGCAUUGCAGGCUUACGUGACAUUAGGACCAAAUCCUAGAAACUUCCGGUAGCGUCACUUAACUUGGCCGACAAUUUACAACGGACAUUUUAGCUACUUGUUAUAAUUAAACAAUAAAAGAGUUCGAAUGUUGUGAUUAACUAAUUAAUUAACGCUCAAAUUCAGCUACAAACAUUUUGCAACCCCUCAUGCUCAACUUGGAGAGAAGUGAAAAAUCAAGUCCUCCAGUUUCAAUGCUAAGAUACAUGUAUAUACUCAAACUCUAUGGUCAGCUUGUUGAUCGUUGUUCUUGGCACCAUCCUUUCCCUCAAACUUGAUGUACUUGUACCAUUUUGCACAUAUAAUGUAGACUAUGAAAUCUGCACUUGUCAAAGCUGCCAAGAGGAAGUAAAAUCGAUCUAGAUGACCUUUGUUAAGAUUUCCUGGGAUCCAUCCUGGCAUGUUAUCUGUAGUAGAGAUUUUCAUGACAAUUGUGACGAGUAAGCUACUCACAUAGUUCCCUAGAGAUAUGGAGGUCAUGCAAAGUGCGCUUCCGAAGCUCUUCAAUCCGUCUGGUGCUUGCCCGUUAAAGAAUUCUAGCUGACCUACAUACAUGAAUACCUCAGAUGCUCCUAUCAGUACAUAUUGAGGAAUUUGCCAGAAAAUGCUCAAAGA